UACGGAGAAUGCAAGCGUUAUCCGGAUUCAUUGGGUUUAAAGGGUGCGUAGGCGGACUAUUAAGUCAGUGGUGAAAGCCUGCAGCUUAACUGCAGAACUGCCAUUGGUACUGAUAGUCUUGAGUUUGGUUAAGGUAGGCGGAAUGUGUAAUGUAGCGGUGAAAUGCUUAGAUAUUACACAGAACACCAAUUGCGUAGGCAGCUUACUGAGCCGACACUGACGCUGAGGCACGAAAGUGUGGGGAUCAAACAGGA
rnacentral:rRNA from 1 species